rnacentral:rRNA from 1 species
AGAUACCCCACUAUGCCUCUCCGUAAACUUUAAACUACAUCCAUAUCGCCUGGGAACUACGAGCAAAGCUUAAAACCCAAAGGACUUGACGGUGCCCCAUAUCCGCCUAGAGGAGCCUGUCCUAUAAUCGAUAACCCCCGUUUAACCUCACCAUUUUUAGCCUAACAGCCUGUAUACCUCCGUCGUCAGCUUACCACGUGAGCGACCCUCAGUAAGUAUAAUGGUUAUCACCAAUACGUCAGGUCAAGGUGCAGCAAAUAAAAUGGGAAGAGAUGGGCUACACUCUCUAUCCUAGAGUACACGAAAAACUAUUUAUGAAAUCUAGUCAGAAGGAGGAUUUAGCAGUAAAAGAGGACGAGAGAGCCCCUUUUAACACGGCCCUGGGGUGUGUACACACCGCCCGUCACCCUCUUCGAAACAACAAAAAAAAGUUCAUAACACAUUACAGCCCAAGAGAAGAGGCAAGUCGUAACAUGGUAAGUAUACCGGAAGGUGUGCUUGGAAA